rnacentral:siRNA from 1 species
GUGUUUACGUUGGUGAGUAAUUG